rnacentral:rRNA from 1 species
GUGGGGAAUAUUGGACAAUGGGCGCAAGCCUGAUCCAGCCAUGCCGCGUGUGUGAAGAAGGCCUUCGGGUUGUAAAGCACUUUCAGUUGGGAGGAAGGCCUGUAAGUUAAUACCCGCCGGGGAUGACGGUACCGUAAGAAUAAGCACCGGCUAACUUCGUGCCAGCAGCCGCGGUAAUACGAAGGGUGCAAGCGUUAAUCGGAAUUACUGGGCGUAAAGCGUGCGUAGGUGGUUUCUUAAGUCUGUCGUGAAAGCCCUGGGCUCAACCUGGGAAUGGCGAUGGAUACUGGGAGGCUAGAGUGCGGUAGAGGAUGGCGGAAUUCCCGGUGUAGCGGUGAAAUGCGUAGAGAUCGGGAGGAACAUCUGUGGCGAAGGCGGCCAUCUGGACCAGCACUGACACUGAGGCACGAAAGCGUGGGGAGCAAACAGGAUUAGAAACCCGGGUAGUCC